rnacentral:lncRNA from 1 species
AUGAGUAUUAUAUGAUUCAAUUCGACACCCACUCGAUUCCAAUAGAUGAUAAUGACAGUAGUAGAAAGGGAAUUAACAAGCUCCCUAAAAAUUAAAUAGGUAAAUAUCAUGGGCAUGGAAUAACUGCUAGUAGAUGAAAGAAACUACUAGCAGUCGCGUUUGUGCAGAUCCCGGCACAUCAGUUUACCAUCAGGACCCGGCACGUUGUAUCGAUUACCUCGGCCGCCACCAAACACUUGUUUGUAAGGAUUAGUAGCACCUCCGGUUUGUCCGGCAGCGCGAGAGCCACCGAGAAUCCUGUUAAUUUCAGAAUCCAUCAUGAACUCCAAAUCUAUGUUGGAAUCAGCUAUGGAGUACAAGGGGACGUCACCGUCCAUUUCCGGCAGUGAAAUACCAGCACCGCAACUUUUUGUGUUGAGCAGCAUCAUCAUCAACAACAACGACAAGGAAAGACUCUUCAUAGUAUCUCUCUUAUGUUUCGCUAGCUCUUUCAAUGCUAAUCUAUGAUAAAAGCGAGCAGCUAACUCCGUAUAUAUGGGAUAGGGUGGCAGUGAUCGGCGGUGUUGAAGGUGAUAAGAUGAGGAAUGUUGCAACGCUGGAUUGGUUAGCUCAUAUUUUCCUAUAUAUCAAAAAUUACAUCACAAGAGAUCCCUUUAAUGCUCGAAUGAAUUGAGUGGAUCAACAGCACUAUACAAUUAAUUUCUCUUGACUAACGAAAGGCACUGUACUGUAUUCUAAUGUCGGUGGCGGACAAAAUUUGACAUAGGGUACUGCUUCUUUUGAGAAAACUCAAGUUGGGGCCUAUAAAUUAGGGUAUAAAAUUUAAUUUCUUCAUUAUUUACUUAUUUAGUGUUUGAGAUAGAUUUGUAAUCUUAAUCAUUAAAUACAAGUUGAAAGAGAUAUAAAGAAGAGCUGUAUAUAAAAUUGUAUCUUUUAAAAUUACUUUUAAUAAAUUAUCAUUUCUCUCGUUCUUCUCUUAUCCUUAUAUUCGAUCUUAUAAAUUAGCUACACCCACUCGAUUCCAAUAGAUAAUAAUGACAGUAGUAGAAACUAGAAAGGGAAUUAACAAGCUCCCUAAAAAUAGGUACAUAUCAUGGGCAUUGAAUAACUGCUAGUAGAUGAGAGAAACUACUAUCAGCCGCGAUAGUGCGGCCCCCUAGGCGGUUUAGGAGAACCCUUACCCAAGUUGUAUCGAUUACCUCGGCCGCCACCAAACACUGGUUUAUGAGGAUUGAGAGCACCGCCUUCGCCAGCGCGAGGGGCAACGAGAAUCCUGUUAAUUUCAGAAUCCAUCAUGAACUCCAAAUCUAAGUUGGAAUCAGCUAUGGAGUACAAGGGGACGUCACCGUCCAUUUCCGGCAGUGAAAUACUAGCACCGCAACUUUCUGUGUUGAGCAGCAUCGUCGUCAACGACGACGAUGACAAUGUCAGAGCUGACAAGGAAAGACUCUUUAUGGUAUCUCUCUUAUUUCUAGCUAGCUCUUUUUAGAGCUGUCUAUCUAAUCAAAUAUAAAAGCAAGCGGUGGUGGCUAGUGAUAAGAGUUUGAGAUUAAAAAAUUUAUUUUCUCUGUGGUUUCAGGUUCGAAUCCUGUGAUUGCUCAUAUAAUAACCACUGGAGACUUACAUGGUCGUUAACUUCAGGGCCUGUAGGAUUAGUCGAGGUGCAGCGCAAGCUGACACUCACGUUAAACUAAAAAAAAAAGAUGAGGAAUGUGGCAAUGAUUGACUGGUUAGCUCAUAUUUUCAUAAAUUGGAUAUUUUUUUUAUAUUAUCUUUUUUUAUUAGUAUCUUUUUUUAUAUAUUUUUAUUUAGAUAAUUUAAAUUUAUGUUUAAAUUAAUAUCAUUUAUUUGUGAUUUUUUUUAUUUUUCCAAUAGUUUUUUGGAUAUAAAUUAUUAUUUUUUUAUCUUACUGUGUUUUUAAUUUUUUUUAAAGGUUGAAUAUAAAUUUAAGGGAAAAUAAUUUAUUGAAUCCAGUUGAAUUCAUGAUCCGGGUAAAGGGUUUAUUUUUUUCUAAAAUUUAAUGGAAACAAAUAUUAAGCCUGAUUGAGUUCAUGGUCCGGGUCACAGGUUUAAUUUUUUUAUGUUAAAUGUUGAAUAUAUAUUUAAGGGGAAAAACUAUUGAACCUGAUUGAGUUAAAUUUAUUGUUUGGGUCAUGAGUUUAACGAGUUAAGUCACAACAACCAAACAUUUUUUUUUUCUGAUAUUGCUUUUUUCUAUUGGCAUUUUUUAUGUGUCUUUUUUAAAUAUUUUUUAAAUUUAUGUUUUAAUUAAUAUCCCUCAUUUGUGGUUUUGUUUUUGUUGAUUUUAUUUUUUUUGGAUAGAGAUUAUUUUUUUAUAGUGUUGUUCGAUAUUUAAUUUUUGAAAAACUCAUUCUAAUUCAUCAACAAUAUUUUCUUUUAUCUUUUUAUAUACAAGAAUUUUAUUUUAAAAAUAAAAAAAUAUUUAUUUUUAGAUAACAUAAUAUGUAUAGCCUUGCAUAAUAUUUUUUUUUCACUUUUAUUUUAUUUAAUCAAUUUAAUAUGUGUGUUUAUUUUUGAUAUCAUUUGAUUGAAUAAAAUAUUAAUUUUAAUAAAUAAAUUAAAAAAACACAACCGGACAAAUAUUUUGUUUAUUAACACAUCUGAAUCUUCUAAUUUUAUUUUUAGUUAUCAUCAAUACCUUUUUUUUCUAUUAUUAAUUCACAUAGUUGUCGAUUUAUUUAAUUACAUGUAUGCAUGAGCUUUUUAAUUUAAACUUUAAAUUUUUUUAUGUAAAAAAUACAUCGAAAAAGCAUGCAUGUACAACGUUUUUGUAACGGAGAAAAAUAUAUAGCCCACAUGCGACACAUCAUCUUUUUUUUUUCAUAAACAAUUUGCAAAAAAAAAAAAAGAAGGUCAGAGCUUAUGGGCCCUAACAAAAUAGGCCAAGCAGGCUGACCUGACUUGUUAGGUCCAGCAGCGCUUGACCUUUGUUUUUGUUUUUUGAGUUUCUAUUUUUUAAAAAAAUUAAUUUUUUUUUAUAUGUUUUUUUAAUAUUUUUUAUUUAUAUUUAGAUCAAUACCCCUUUUUUUAUGUUGUUUAGAGAGUCUCUUUGAAAUAACAAUUAUUUUUUAAUUAUUGUUUUAAUUUUUUAAGAGGUUCUUCUGAUUUAUCUAUAAUUUUUUUUUAAUCUUUUGUAUAGAUGAAUUUUAUUUUUAAAAAUAAAAAAAUUUAUUUUCAAAUAAAAUUUCUAAUAUGUACAGCCUUGCAUAUGUUUUUUUAUUCAAUCAAUAUAAUAUGUGUUUUUAUUUCUAUUAUCGUUUGAUUGAAUAAAAAACUUAUUUUAAUCAAUAAAUUUAGCAAACACAAUCAUAUAAAUAUAUCGUCUUAUAAAAUUAAAUAUCUUAAUUUAUAUCUGUCUCUUGAUUUUUCUAUUUUUAUUUUUAGUUAUCAUUUAUAGUUUUUUCCACUUAAUAACACACAUAGUUCUUAAUUUAUUUGAUUAUAUAUAUGUAUAAACUUUUUGAUUUUCACUUAGAAUUUUUUUAAAUAAUAAAAAUAUGUUGAAAAAAUCUAUAUAUAAAUUUAUUUUCUUAAAAAAAAAUAUGUAGCUCGCGGCAAAUAAAAUAUCUAAAUAUCAACUGUUUUUAAUGGCCAGAUCACGAAUACACAAUACAGAGGACCUUUCAAAGGUCUUCCAUGGCCAAUUGGUCCACUCUGUUUGCUGCCUCAUAACGUGCAUUUAAUUUUAUAUUUUUGCCAGCGACCUGUUUAUAUUUUUUAAAAAUUGACCCUUUAUAUUGUUUUUUUGUUCAAUCCAGUAUAAUUCUUGAUUUCCCUUCACUGCCUGUUUAUACUUCAUAAGAUGUGAAAAAAAAACAAGGAUAAUUAAUCAACUCAAAGCAUGGUUUGAAUCACUCAAAAGUUCGUGCUGAUCAUGAGGAAAAGGUUUCUAAUCUCUAAUUAACAAUCUCUUAAUUAACCUAAUUUUUUACAUUUUUGUUUAAUGAACUUUCCCUCAACGGCAAUCAUCUUCAUCUAUCUACCAUAAGUUUUGAGGAUGCACCGCACCACCAGGGCAUGAACUCCAGAAAGUCUCCACCAUAAGUUUUGAGGAUUCACCGCACCACCAGGGCGUCAGUAGCACAAUCAACAUUGAUCUGAACCGAUUUUUCUUUUUAUUUGGCCACUCGACGGCAACAUCCCUAUAUAUUCCCUAUUAUUUCUUCUUCCUUUUUUAUAUUUUUCGAAUCAACGUCCCUAUUCUUUCAAGCUGGAAAUAUUUGAAUGUGCUAACUAAUUUCAAAGAUCUUCAUGCCCCACUCGUACUAUCAAAGACAAAAAUCAAGAUCUUCAUGCCCCACCAUAAGUUUUAAGUAUGUAAUAUUACGAUAUAACAAAGUUAUUUAGGGAUGUUCAAUCGAUCUUGGAAUGAAAGAAAAUCAAGAGAUUGAGAAUAUAUUUUCUAAACCUUUAUUUCAAAGACAAAAAAAAAAGUUGAUUUUUUUCCCAUCAUGGUAUGUUAAAUUAGAAUCUCAAAUCAAGUUUUGUUUUAUGAAAAUUAAUCACAUGACAAAUAUAUGUGUGUGUUAAAAAUCCCUAUUAUAAACAAGUCGUUCAUGUAUUUUAAAGACAAAGCGAAUUCCUCCCUUAUAAUAUAUAUUAUGUGCCAACUCUUAUCAAUCUUCAUGUAAUCUUUUUCAUUAAUAAAAGUUAAUGCUUUAUAAGAACCUAUAUUUAUCUAAUUUCCUUUUAUUUUACUAGUUUAGUAGACGAGUGAUAUAUUAAAGCCUUGUUAAGUUAUUUAUAACAAGAAAGUAGAGGUGAUUCUUUUUUGUUUGAUUUGGUUUUUACCUAAAAAAUAACCAAAUUGAUUUAAAAAAAAACUGAAACCGAACCGAAACCGGUUCAAACCGAUUGGUUUUGAUUCGUUUCGGUUAUUUUAGAACAAAAACCAAAACCCAACAGAUUGGUUUCGGUUCAAUUUGAUUUCGGUUCAUUUUUUAUUCAAUUCAGUUUUGGUUUGGUUUGGUUAUUUUAUAUUAAAAAGCAAAAACUAUAUUGUUUUUUGGGGUUUUUUUUGUAAUUUCUAAUGGGUUUGGUUUCGGUUUGGCUCGGUUAUAAAACCAAAACCGAACUGAACCAAUCACUUUUUUCACUAUUCUAAUUGGUUUAAUCAAUUUUUUUUCACGGUUCGGUUAUUUCAAAUAUUUUUUUCUAGUUUUCUCGAUUUAAAUUAGUUUUUUGAAAAUUAUAUAAGAAAUGGAGCUUCUCCUCUUUAAAAAUUAAAUAUUUCUAAAAAAAAUAAAGAAAAAAAUAUAUCAAAUAAGAAAUGGACGGAUUUUUAUUCAAUCUAAUCAAAUGGAAAAAUCUAAAGACACGGAAAUCUGUAAAGUUGAUAGAAUACAGCCAACGACUUAGAAGUCCUUCAUGCCCCACUCGUACUAUCAAAGACCUUUCAAAGGUCUUCCAUAUAUUGUCCCUUUGCCAAAUGCUACAUUGAUACUACUCCAUGAGACUUUUAUAAUUACCAAUACUUGAAAACGAUUUUACAAGGAAUUCCUAAAUUUCCUUUUGUACUCUAAUUUAAUACAUAAGAAAUAAAAAAAUAAAAAUAAAAAUAAAAAUUAGAAUCAGUCAACUAUAGCAUGACUUAAAUUUACACCUCUCAGCAUAUAAUAAUUAAAAGGAGCUUCUCCUCUUGAUUUCUUCAUUUCUCCUCCUUUGGCCAAAAACAAAAUGAGUAGCAGCAGCAGCAAAUAUCUCUCUCUCACAAACUCACCUCUGUUCACACCUCUGCACCUCUCCUUCCUGUUCCUCCAUCUCACCAUCCUUGUAACCGGGGAUCUACCACCACCUUACGUCCCUCUCGAUAGCAUAGCGCUUGAUUGUGGUUCAUCCGCCGAUAGUUUUGGAAACGAUAGAAACUGGACUGCAGACAUCAACUCAAAAGUGGCCCUUCUAGAUCAAGACAGCCCCUCAACAAAUCUCACAGCAAAUGGAGCCUCCACUAGCUCUGUACCUUAUUAUACUGCUCGCGUCUCUCUCUCCCAAUUCACCUACACAUUUCCUGUCACAACAACAGGACCUAAGUUUGUUCGCCUCCAUUUCAAUCCAGCUUUCUACACUGGUUUCAACAGGUCUAAAGCAUCUUUUUCUGUCACAACCGGUCGCUAUACCUUUCUUAGCAACUUCAGUGGCUUCCAUUACACUGACCCACAUGGUGAACGAGCUGGUUACGCCAGAGAAUUCAUCUUAAAUGUUGAAGAUGAGCAGAAAAAUCUGAGCAUAACGUUCACGCCAAGCCCUCAUGUUGCUGAUGCAUAUGCUUUCAUCAACGGGAUUGAAAUCGUAUCCAUGCCCACCAAUCUUUAUUACACUGCAGGAGAUGACCCAGGGCCGUAUGAUUUUGACCGGGAGUUCUAUCUUCCCCUUGAAAACAAAACUGCUUUAGAGAUCAUGUACCGAGUAAAUGUGGGUGGGGGAGAGAUCACACCGCCCUACGACACUGGCAUGUUUCGAAGUUGGUUAAACGAUGUCGAUUACUUGACGGAUGUUCAACCAGACGCUUUUCAAUUUAAUGGCACUAUUCAACUUCAGUAUAAUAACCACACUCGCUAUGCUGCACCUGACGUGCUCUAUCGAACUGCUAGGGCCAUGGCGAACAAUUCAACUGUAAAUGAGAAAUACAAUCUGACUUGGGACUUUCGGGUCCACUCCAGAUUCACCUAUCUUGUUAGGCUUCAUUUCUGUCAGUUUAUACCGAUUUUAUUGCAAAAAGGCGAUAUAGUCUUUAAAAUAUAUAUCGCUAAUCAAACGGCAGAGCGUUACGCAGAUAUAAUCUCUUGGGCUGAUGGAAAUGGGGUUCCCGUAUACAGAGAUUACGUAGUGAUGAUGGAUGCCAGAGGAAACGAAGAGAUACAGAAUUUGUCAAUUGCAUUGCACCCUAUUCAGUCUACUAAUGCCUUCGAUGCAAUGUUGAAUGGAGCUGAAAUCUUCAAAUUGAGCAAAUCAGACAAUCUUGCCGGACCAAAUCCUGACGCGUAUCCGGACAGCCCCGUUAGUAAUAUUCCUAGCGCGACCUCAACAAAGCCAAUGCAUAGUCUUAGAAGAACAGUCGCCAUUAUUGGUGCUGCUGUUUCGGGCAUUGUUGUCGUCUCUGUUCUAUUUUUCUUGAUUUUCCGGAGAAGAGUCCAAAAAUUCAAGGACUUGGUUUCUGGUGAUGCAGCUUCAAACUUAAGCCCUCUUGUUUCCUCUUCAGGAAAGUCAACAAAGACCCAUAGGCCAUCUCUACCUUCUGAUCUAUGCUACCGUUUCUCGCUAGUUGAGAUCAUAGCAGCUACAAACAACUUCGACGAUUCUUUCAUUAUUGGUGUUGGUGGCUUUGGUAACGUGUACAAAGGAUUAUUUGAUGGUGGAGUCAAUCGUGCUGCGAUCAAGCGAUUGAAUCCAAGUUCACAGCAGGGUGCAACCGAGUUCAAGACAGAGAUCGAGAUGCUCUCCCAGCUUAGAUUCCGCCAUUUGGUUUCUCUAAUUGGUUACUGUAAUGAGAAUAAUGAGAUGAUCCUGGUGUAUGAUUAUAUGGCUCGGGGGACGCUUCGUGAUCAUCUCUACAGAACUGAUAAUCCUCCACUUUCAUGGACUCAACGCCUAGAGAUUUGCAUCGGUGCUGCCCGUGGGUUGCAUUACCUUCACACAGGUGCCAAGCACACUGUCAUUCAUCGUGAUGUGAAGACAACAAAUAUCUUGCUGGAUGAGAAAUGGGUGGCCAAAGUUUCGGAUUUCGGAUUGUCCAAAACAGGCCCUACGAGCACAUCGAAGGGCCACGUGAGCACCGUUGUGAAAGGUAGCAUAGGGUACUUGGAUCCCGAAUAUUGUCAACGCCAGCAAUUGACAGAAAAAUCUGAUGUCUAUUCAUUUGGGGUUGUGUUGUUCGAGGUAUUGUGUGCUAGACCAGCAAUAAACCGAUCAGCAGUGCCAGCAAGUCUAGCAGAGUUGGCUAGACAGAGCCACAGCAACGGAAGGAUUAAUGAAAUCAUUGAUCCGUAUCUGGAUAGAAAGAUCUCACCAGAUUGUCUGAAAAACUUUGUUGAUGUUGCGGUGAGAUGCUUGCUCGAGAAUGGAAUCGAAAGGCCUUCGAUGACCGAUGUGGUUUGGGGCCUUGAGUUUGCAUUACAACUGCAAGAGAGCGCGGAAGAGUAUGUCAAAGUGGCUCAAACUGAGAAAGAAGUUGACAUGGAGACUCCUCUGAAAGGCUCCUCAAUCGAUGACAGCAGUGAUUUGUUUAGUACUGGCAGUGAACUAGUUGUGAAUUCCCGCAUUUUGGAAAUGGCAACAACAAGCAGCAGCGACGAACAAAGUUUUCUAAGCAACGAGUCGGAGAAAAUGAUGUCUGGUGCUGUGUUCUCUGAGAUCAUGAACCCAAAGGGGCGAUGAAAAGCAAGCUAGUUAGCAUGCUGCAUUAGUAUAGGCCUCAAGACAAAGGUUUCUAGCUGAAAUACCUAUCGAUGCAUAUAUAUGCAUUACUUGUUUGAAUAAUUUUGGUAGUGAUAAUUAGUGUGUCUGAUAGAAUGAUUUUAUUGCAGUACUCUGCAUAUUCAGCAUUAAUUGGAACCAAUUUUUCAUGUUAUUUGACCACUCAGCCGCAAGAUCACCACUCUUUCAAGCUAUCUGAUUCAAAAUUCGGCUGACUUGGAUGAAAGGAAAUCAAUAGACUGAGAAGAUUUUCUCCACAAAAAAGCUGACUUUUUUUCCCAAAAACAUUUGUUCCUUACUCCCUAUCAUAAUAUGUUUAAUCAAUAUGCUAAAACCAAAUUUUAUUGUUCAUAUAAGAACAAGAUUUGAUUUUCAAAACCCUUAUUUGACAUGCAUACUCAGUUUCAAAUAAAACACAAGAAGUUGGUCUAUUUUUUCUUAACUUUAAAAUAAUCUAUAAAGAAUAUUUCACCUGUGAAAAGAUAAUAAAGUCAAUUAAUAAAAAUCUUAGAUAUUAUUACUAACGUUAUAAGAACUGCAAACAAUAUUAUUUUUCUAAAAGAGGACUUUCAUCGUUAAUUGUAAAUGCACGAGAAAAGAAAAUGUGAAAUACAUUCAGAAAUUAAUUUAUGACUAAUUAUUAUUAUUUAUACACAAAUAAUUGAUCAAAUUUAUAAUUGAUCAAAUUAAUAGAAAGGUUAGACUCCACAAUAUUAUUAAUGUCUUUGUUUUCACCAAGCAAUGCCAACAAGUUUAUGAUACAUACACUUUUUUUUUUCAGAAAUGAUCGUUCAAGAGUUGAUUGGUUAUCCAUAAUAAAAAUCAAACUUAGAGAUCGUGUCUAGGUUGUUCAAGAUAACAACGAUGAAUUAACUAUGAGAAAUGAUGUCUUUCAACUUGAUGAGUUAAUUGAUUCAUAUUGAGCUACUUCGUCUAAUUAAUGACUUGGAAGAAAACUCAAAUUUUCAUGUCGCCGAGAAUACUUUGAUUGAUAUUGAUGUUGAGGAGUUAAAUGAUGUUUUGAGAAUAGUAAACAUACAUAAAUCGAUGAAGAUGAUGACAGCGAUAGAAUCAAAAUAGAAGAUUGUGAUGGAGAUUUGUAAAAUGAUUAAUUACUACAAUUGCCACUGAUUUUCUAUUUUUUAAUAAUUUUUUUAAAAAGAUUCUAAAUUAUUAUUGACAGGGUUACCAAUGGACUUAGGCCGUCAGUAUAUUUUAGAGAAUUUAAAAAGAAUUACUGCAAGUGUCACUGAUUGUUUACUCAUCAACUGAAUAACAAACAGUCUGUUUGAUGGUUAUAUGUUAAAUUCAUCGAAGGAAAUACCGAUGGAAAAAUAAAAAUCACCAACGAAAUGAUAUACGGUUUUUCUGUCGGUGAUAUAUUAUAUUCAUCGAUGGAAAUGUUGAUGGAAUAAAAUAGGUUAAUUUUUUUUUUGGUAUGCUUUUUCUGUUAGUAAAUCCAUCGGUAAAAUUAUUACUGACAGACCACAAAUCAACGACGAGAGUUUUUCUGACGGAUUAUUUCUAUUUGUGAGCUCGUUGAGAAAUUUUGUGUUGAUAGAUUGUGAGUAUAAAUAUUAACAGAAAAUUUCAUCGGUAAAUCUAAAAAUUCUAGUAGUGUUAUAAUUAAUUACUAAUUAUAAAAACAAUUCUUCUUAUUAUUGAUACUCAUGAGAUUGAUACUUAAAGAUUUCAGCUUAUAAUACUAUCAUGUUAUGAAUUAUAAAAAAUAUUAAAGAGUAAAAAUAUUGAUUGAAUUAAAAAUUAUCAUGUUAGAGAAAAUAAGAAGAAAAAUAUUAAAUAAGAAUUAAAAUGGUUGUAUAAAUUAAUAAGAUAAAACAACGUGAAUUUACUAGUUAUAUCUAAAUUUAUGAAAAUCAAUAAAGAAAGGUCCACAACGUGAAUCUUACUGCUGCACAAUACGGAGGACCUUUCAAAGGUCUUCUUCCAUUUCCAAUCGGUCCACUCUAUUUGUUGCCUCAUAACGUGCAUCAGGUGUUCACAUGAAACUGGGCCCAAAGGCUUGGAACUUUGCCAACAAUAUGUUUUUGCCUUUAAUGCAUAUAUAUAUAUAUAUAUAUAUAUAUAUAUAUAUAUAUAUAUAUAUAUAUAUAUAUGCAUGACAAAUAAAAGAAUUUGGUACUCAUUUCUCUCUUUUAUUUUAUUAGUACGGUGACCCACGCUACGUCAUAGAUGAAAAAAAAAUUCAGAAGAUGACAACCUAAGUCGAGUUAGGUUAAUUUGACUAACCUAUGAUCCAGGAUAAAAGUUUAGGAUAAUGCUAUAGAAAAGAAAGCGAAAAAAAUAAUAAAACUCAAGGCCCAAUAAUCUAAUGUCAAAAGAUGAAAUUGAAAAAAUAAAAUUCAAAAAUAAAAACAUCGAAGAAAAAACACGAGUCAACCUGGGCUCACCCAAAUAUCCGCUACCCUCAAUAUGCGAUCAGAAUAAAAAAAAUAAUUUAAAAAAAAAACUUAAAAAAGAACCGAAGUUAAAUCAAUAAAUAAAAUGCCAAGAAAACAAUUAAGUCCACCCGGGUUAACUUGACAAACUCGUGACUCGGGUCAACCACAUAUAAAGAAAAGUAGAAAAAUCACAAAGAUCACAACCCAAAAAUCUAAUGUCAAAGAAUUAAAUUGAAAUAAAAAAUCAUUUUUUAAAAAAACAAAUGUAAAAAAUAAAUUGAGUCAGCCAAGGUUCACUUGACUAACUCGCAACCCGUAAAAUGUGAUCGUGAUAAAAAAAUUAAUUUUAAAUAAAAAGCACCAAGAAAAAAAGACCUAAGUAAAAUAAAAGGAAUAUCGAAAAAAACCAAAGUCAACCCGAUCUAACUUCACAAACAUGCGGCCCAGGAUAACCCCAUAGAAAGAAAAAUGAAAACAAAUCAUAAAACUCAAGGUCCAAUAACAUAAUUUCAAAUGAUGAAAUAAAAAAACAAAAAAAAACCAUAAAAAAGUUAAGACCUGUGAUAUGAGAUCGAGAGAAAUCUACAUAAAAAAAUGCGGAAAAUAUCACGAAGCUCGAGACUCAAUAACUUAAUGUCAAAGGAUAACAUAAAAUAAAUAAAUAAGAAAAAAAACUCGAAUGAACCUGGGUUCACCCAGCAAACCUAUGACCUAGGAUAAGAGACCAAGAUAACUCCAUAAAAAAAAAUGGAAAUAACCAUGAAACUUAAGGCCCAAUAACCUAAAUUUAAAUGAUAAAAUUGAAAAAUAAUCAAUUUUAAGAGAAGGGCAUAAAAAAUAUCAAAAUUAAAUCAGGCUAAUCCUCAAAACUAGUGACUUGAGUCAUGAGACUGAGAUUAAACCAUAGAAGGGAAACUCUAAAAAAUACCAAGCAAAAUCCCUAAUCAUCCAAAAUUACAAGAAAAAAAUAGCAAUAAAAAAAACAAGAAUCGAAUCUGGAAUAAAAAUUAAAUGAAAGAAAACAAUGAGGGACUAAAUUGAAAAUUAAAAUAAAUUAAGAAAAUAAAAAAAAAUAGUAAUCACAUAAUGAGGACCAAAAUUGGAUAUAAAAAUUAAAUGAAAUAAAAUUCUUAGGGAAUAAAUUGAAAAAAAUAAAGUUCAAAAAGCAUUAAAAGAAAAAAAGUAGAAAUAAAUAAAAAUGAUGACUAAAAUUGAUAAAAAUAUAAUUUGUUGUUGCAAAUUUUGAGGUCAGGAGAGAUAAAAAAGAGGAGAAAAGAAAAAUAUUCAUCGGAACGUCCAUCCUGAACAAGUGCCUCACCAUUGCGAAAAAGACAAUGCCCUGCUUCAGACGCUGUAGUGGACGACAACAUUUGACCACUAGGAGGUGCCACACGAGCUGCCUAAAGAACGUGAAUGCCUCCUAAUUGCUGGUGCGCGCGUGACAUUGAUCGGCAUGAUCAUGAUUCAUUCUCAUCGCAUCCAUAACCAUUAUCCUUUAAGGAUUAUUGUUGUCAUCUACAACUCCAUGCACGUUGCUAACACUAGAAAUUAACUCAACUAUCUUUUCUAUCAUGGUCUCGUGAGGAACAAUUGGUUUUCUGUGUGCAUACCAACACAAGUAUUUCUCCAUGAACCAUUUUUAUAGAAGAUGCAUCGUUACAACAUCUGGAUCGAGAAAUUUUUUAUUUUUACAUCUCUUGCAUAGAUACCUAAUACCGUUUCCACUAAUAUUUCUCGGAUUAGAAUUUGCAUAAUUAAUAAAACCUUAAAAUCCAUUACAAUAAUUCAUCCUCCACAAUCCUUGUGGUGAAUCUCGAUAUAUUCAUGAACAUCCAUCACUUUUAUGAAACCUAUAUCAAAUAAUGAUGACAACAUGUAUUAAUUAACUAUAUAAACUAAAUAAAUUUGUAAAAAUAUUGGUUUAGCUCAAGAUUAUUCAACCUACUUUAAUACUUCUCUUAAUUCAUUAUCAAUUAUCUUCGUAGAUACAAAUUUGUACACUUUUACGGAAAUUACAACUCGACAAUAAAAUUGAUAAAAUAUAAAACGGAACCGUUAAACAAGCCAUUAUUUAUUUCAUCACAACAUAUCUAAGUCGGUAAUUCAACAUAAGUUUCAAUAAUUUAUAAACAAAUACAAUUUUACAAAAUCUAAAACAAGCCAUAACAUGUACAAAAUCAUAAAUCCACACAACAAGUUUGUUUGAGAAAAAACAAUAAAACAAGUAAACACGUAAACAAAAUACAUAUAUUACAAAAAUAUAUAAUAAAAAAAUUAAAAUUUUAAAAUUAUAUUCCAAUUAAAAAAAGAUAAAGAUAAAUUUACUUUCUUAAAUGGAAAUCCUUAAUAAAAUUUCAACAAAAAUUCCAUUCAAGUGUCUAAGACGAUUUCUGAUGCUUUGGGGGUUCACCUUCAUAUACAGAGGAACUGCACCCCACUAAUUAUUGCACAAAUAAUAAGAGAGCUCUUAUUUGUGAGAUGCUGAGGUAAAUAUAUUGAUAGGAGAGCUUAAUUUUUGAAAAACUCAUUCUAAUUCAUAAACAAUUUUUUCUUUUAUCUUUUUGUAUACAAGAAUUUUAUUUUAAAAUAAAAAAUAUUUAUUUUCAUAUAACAUAAUAUGUAUAGCCUUGCAUAAUAUUUUUUUUCACUUUUAUUUUAUUUAAUCAAUUUAAUAUGUGUGUUUAUUUUUAAUAUAAUUUGAUUGAAUAAAAAUAUUAAUUUUAAUAAACAAAUUCAAAAAAUACAAUCAGAUGAAUAUUCUGUUUAUUAACACAUCUGAAUCUUCUAAUUUUAUUUUUAUUUAUCAUGACUACCUUUUUUCUGAUUAUUAAUUCACAUAGUUGUUGAAUUAUUUGAUUACAUGUAUGCAUGACCUUUUUAAUUUAAACUUUUAAUUUUUUUUAUGUAAAAAAUGCAUCGAAAAAGCAUGCAUGUACAACGUUUUUGUAAGAGAAAAAAAAUAUAGCCCACAGGCGACGCAUCAUUUUAUUUUUUUCAUAAACAAUUUGCAACAAAAAAAAGGUUAGCGCGCAUGGGCCCUAAUAAAAUGGGCCAAGCAGGCUGACCUGGCUUUGCGAGGUCCAGCAGCACCUGGCCUUUGUUUUUGUUUUUGUUUUGUUUUUUGUUUUGUUUUUUGUGUUUCUAUUUUUUUAAAAUUAAUUCUUUUUUUAUAUGUAUUUUUAAUAUUUUUUUAUUUAUAUUUAGAUUAAUACCCCUUAUUUUUUUUUAUGUUGUUUAGAGAACCUAUUUGAAAUGACAGUUAUUUUUGAAUUAUGCAUUUAAUUUUUUAGAAGGUUUUUCUGAUUUAUCUAUAAUUUUUUUUAAUUUUUUGUAUAGAUGAAUUUUAUUUUUGAAAAUAAAAAAAUUUAUUUUCAAAUAAUAUUUCUAAUAUGUGGAGCCUUCCAUAUUAUUAUUUUUUCCUUUUAUUUUAUUCAAUAAAUUUAAUAUGUGUAUUUAUUUCUAUUAUCGUUUGAUUGAAUAAAAAAUUUAUUUUAAUCAAUAAAUUUAGCAAACACAAUUAUAUAAAUAUCUUGACUUAUAAAUUUAGUUAAGCAGGAGAACAUUGUCUGUUAAAAUCUUAGCCCUUGAUUUAAUCGAAGGGCUAAAAUUAAAAUAACAUGAUAUACUAACUUGAAUGAAGCUCCCUCCAUAUAAACAUUUAUUAACAAUUAAUUAUAUUAAACAAAUAAAAUAUAAAUAUUAGUUUUACACUGAAGAAUGCAUAAUGAUAUUCUAAACUCAAGGAUGAAUUUUAAAUUAUGUUAUAUGAAACAGAAAAGACAAAACAAAACACACACAUGGUGGGGUCUUAACAAUUAUGGAACACAAAAAACAAAGAGAGAGUGAUGCAACAAAAACCUCAAAUACUUAGAGAUAGUGAUGGAAAAAGGAGGAAAAGAAAAGCAUUAUGGAACACAAAAAACAAAGAGAGAGAGAGAGCGAUUGAGGGGAAGAAGAAACGAACACUAGGGUCUCAAGAAACAGUACAGUGCUCGAAUGAUCACAAAGUAAACGAGGCAUAACCCAGCUCAAUCAUUAGACUGCUGCGCACCACUCUUGGCAAGGAAAUCAGCGCAAGCAUUCCCCUCUCUCAAAGUAUGUGACAGCCUACACCCCCAACUCUGCUGCAUAAGAGACCGAAUAAUAUUCAUGAUAAUUGCAUACCAUGGAUGACAAGUACUGCUUGAACCAUUAGCAGCAUGUAAAGCUUCCUUAGAUUCAGUUUCAAAAAUAACAAUUUUGGACCCAAGAAUUCAUGCUGGCAACAAACCAUGGAAUGUGGCUUGGAGUACUUGUUCAUCUGCCAAAUUGGUUGUGUAACCCAGAAAGCCAAGGCAACCAUGCUAUCCAUAUCCCAUUUUCACCACGAAAAUAAUUAAUAAACGAGAAGCAUGAAAUCAUUCUGAAGAACGGAAAUGUUGGGUUUGAUCUUUUUCCUUUACCCAUUGUGGAGAAACUUACAGUAAGUUGGUAUUAGUGAUCGAGCAAUGAAAAUUGUUUUAGAUGAGAGAAACAUUGAGUAUAACAUAUUUUUUAAGCUUCAGGGGUGGCCAUGGCCCCCUCUAUCUCCCUAGCCUCUGCAAGGGUUUGUGUGUGAUUAUCUCUUCUCUAUGACAACACUUUUCUUUAUAUCUAUAUAUUGAAUUCUCAACCACAAGUAACGUAAUUUGAAGUUCAACGCAAAAUAUAAUCUACCAUGAGUAUUAUAUGAUUCAAUUCGACACCCACUCGAUUCCAAUAGAUGAUAAUGACAGUAGUAGAAAGGGAAUUAACAAGCUCCCGAAAAAUUAAAUAGGUACAUAUCAUGGGCAUGGAAUAACUGCUAGCAGUCGCGUUUGUACUGCGACCGGCAAUUCGGUUUAUUAGAACCCUUAGGCACGCAGUAUCGAUUACCUCGGCCGCAACCAAACGCUGGUUUAUGAGGAUUGAGAGCACCACCUCCAACACGGCGAGAGCCACGGAGAAUCCUGUUAAUUUCAGAAUCCAUCACAUGAACUCCAAAUCUAAGUUGGAAUCAGCUAUGGAGUACAAGGGGACGUCACCGUCCAUUUCCGGCAGUGAAAUACUAGCACCGCAACUUUUUGUGUUGAGCAGCAUCAUCAUCAACAACAACGACAAUGUUAGAGCAGACAAGGAAAGACUCUUCAUCGUAUCUCUCUAAUUUUGAGCUAGCUCUUCUUAAUGCUGUCUAUCUAAUCAAAUAUAAAAGCAAGCAGCUAAGACAGGUGAGGAAUGUGGCAAUGAUUGAUUGGUUAGCUCAUAUUUUCCUAUAAAUGAAAUUAAAUGACAUCACAAGAGAUCAAUUUCAUGCUAGCGUGGAUCAACAGCACUAUACUUUACCUGUUUCAGAUGUAGAUCCGGAUCACGUGUUUAAAUUUUCUUUUUAAAGUUAAAUAUAAAUUUAAAAGAAAAAAUAUUGAAUUCAAUUGAAUUUAUAAACCGGGCAUGAAUUUAAUAAGUUAAACCAUAAUAAUUAGAUUUUUUUUUAUAUUGUCUUUUUUUAUUGGUAUCUUUUUUUAUAUAUCUUUUUUUAGAUAAUUUAAAUUUAUGUUUCAAUUAAUAUCAUUUAUUUGUGAUUUUAUUUUUAUUUUUUUGGAUAUAAAUUGUUUUUUUUAUCAUGUUAUGUGUUUUUAAUUUUUUUUAAAAGAUUGAAUAUAAACUUAAGGGAAAAGAAUUUAUUGAAUCCAGUUGAGUUCAUGGUCCAGGUACAGGGUUUAUUUUUUUCUAAAAUUUAAUAGAAACAAAUAUUAAGCCCAGUUGAGUUCAUGGUUCAGGUCACAGGUUUAAUUUUUUUAUGUUAAAAGUUGAAUAUAUAUUUAAGGGGAAAAACUAUUGAAUCUGAUUGAGUUUAUUGUUCGGGUCAUGAGUUUAACAAGUUAAGCCACAACAACUAGAUAAUUUUUUUUUUUUUUCUGAUAUUGCUUUUUUCUACUGGUAUUUUUAUGUGUCUUUUUUAAAAUAUUUUUUAAAUUUAUGUUUUAAUUAAUAUCUCUUAUUUGUAGUUUUUUUUUGUUGAGUUUUUUUAUAGAGAUUAUUUUUUUAUAGUGCUGUUCGUAUUUAAUUUUUGAAAAACUCAUUCUAAUUCAUCAACAAUUUUUUCUUUUAUCUUUUUGUAUACAAGAAUUUUAUUUUAAAAAUAAAAAUAUUUAUUUUCAGAUAACAUAAUAUGUAUAACCAUGCAUAAUAUUUUUUUUCACUUUUAUUUUAUUUAAUCAAUUUAAUAUGUGUGUUUAUUUUUGAUAUCAUUUGAUUGAAUAAAAUAUUAAUUUUAAUAAAUAAAUUCAAAAAAUACAACCGGAUACAAAUAUUUUGUUUAUUAACACAUCUGAAUCUUCUAAUUUUAAUUUUAGUUAUCAUCAAUACCUUUUUUUUUCUAUUAUUAAUUCACAUAGUUGUCGAUUUAUUUGAUUACAUGUAUGCAUGAGUUUUUUAAUUUAAACUUUAAAUUUUUUUAUGUAAAAAAUAUAUCAAAAAAGCAUGCAUGUACAACGUUUUUGUAACGGAGAAAAAUAUAUAGCCCACAUGCGACACAUCAUCUUUUUUUUUUCAUAAACAAUUUGCAAAAAAAAAAAGAAGGUCAGUGCUCAUGGGCCCUAACAAAAUAGGCCAAGCAGGUUGACCUGACUUGUUAGGUCCAGCAGCGCUUGACCUUUGUUUUUGUUUUUGUUUUUUGAGUUUCUAUUUUUUUUAAAAUUAAUUCUUUUUUAUAUGUUUUUUUAAUAUUUUUUAUUUAUAUUUAGAUUAAUACCCCUUUUUUAUGUUGUUUAGAGAGUCUCUUUGAAAUAACAAUUAUUUUUUAAUUAUUGUUUUAAUUUUUUAAGAGGUUCUUCUGAUUUAUCUAUAAUUUUUUUUUAAUCUUUUGUAUAGAUGAAUUUUAUUUUUAAAAAUAAAAAAAUUUAUUUUCAAAUAAAAUUUCUAAUAUGUACAGCCUUGCAUAUGUUUUUUUAUUCAAUCAAUAUAAUAUGUGUUUUUAUUUCUAUUAUCGUUUGAUUGAAUAAAAAACUUAUUUUAAUCAAUAAAUUUAGCAAACACAAUCAUAUAAAUAUAUCGUCUUAUAAAAUUAAAUAUCUUAAUUUAUAUCUGUCUCUUGAUUUUUCUAUUUUUAUUUUUAGUUAUCAUUUAUAGUUUUUUCCACUUAAUAACACAGAUAGUUCUUAAUUUAUUUGAUUAUAUAUAUGUAUAAACUUUUUGAUUUUCACUUAGAAUUUUUUUAAAUAAUAAAAAUAUGUUGAAAAAAUCUAUAUAUAAAUUUAUUUUUAAAAAAAAAAAUAUGUAGCUCGCGGCAAAUAAAAUAUCUAAACAUCAACUGUUUUUGAUGCCCAGAUCACGAAUACACAAUACAGAGGACCUUUCAAAGGUCUUCCAUGGCCAAUUGGUCUACUCUGUUUGCUGCCUCAUAACGUGCAUUGGAUAUUUACAUGAAACUUUGCCAGCGACUUGUAUAUGGUGGAGUGGGCAUCCUAUUUUAAAAAUUGACCCUUCACUGCCUGUUUAUACUUCAUAAGAUGUGAAAAAAAAACAAGGAUAAUUAAUCAACUCAAAGCAUGGUUUGAAUCACUCAAAAGUUCGUGCUGAUCAUGAGGAAAAGGUUUCUAAUCUCUAAUUAACAAUCUCUUAAUUAACCUAAUUUUUUACAUUUUUGCUUAAUGAACUUUCCCUCAACGGCAAUCAUCUUCAUCUAUCUACCAUAAGUUUUGAGGAUUCACCGCACCACCAGGGCAUGAACUCCAGAAAGUCUCCACCAUAAGUUUUGAGGAUUCACCGCACCACCAGGGCGUCAGUAGCACAAUCAACAUUGAUCUGAACCGAUUUUUCUUUUUAUUUGGCCACUCGACGGCAACAUCCCUAUAUAUUCCCUAUUAUUUCUUCUUCCUUUUUUAUAUUUUUCGAAUCAACGUCCCUAUUCUUUCAAGCUGGAAAUAUUUGAAUUUGCUAACUAAUUUCAAAGAUCUUCAUGCCCCACUCGUACUAUCAAAGACAAAAAUCAAGAUCUUCAUGCCCCACCAUAAGUUUUAAGCAAGUAAUAUUACGAUAUAACAAAGUUAUUUAGGGAUGUUCAAUCGAUCUUGGAAUGAAAGAAAAUCAAGAGAUUGAGAAUAUAUUUUCUAAGCCUUUAUUUCAAAGACAAAAAAAAAUGUUGAUUUUUUUUCCCAUCAUGGUAUGUUAAAUUAGAAUCUCAAAUCAAGUUUUGUUUUAUGAAAAUUAAUCACAUGACAAAUAUAUGUGUGUGUUAAAAAUCCCUAUUAUAAACAAGUCUUUCAUGUAUUUUAAAGACAAAGCGAAUUCCUCCCUUAUAAUAUAUAAUAAGAGAUGACAUGUCCGCGUGCUGUCGCAGGCUUAUAAAAAUACAUUUGAUAGUGUUAUAAUUGUGAAGCAACGCUAGAAAAGUAAUAGAAAUUAAAGGUAUGAUGGAGCAAAUAUUUCAUGACGAAAAAAAAAGUUGUGUUGGUGAUCAAAAACUUAGAGACUGAUCAAAAUGAUUUGUAGCAAUCUACAGUGUUUUGUGAGAAAAGAUACAGUGCUUUCGCCACAUGAUUUAACUUUUCAGUUAAUAAAAAGAAAAAAAAUCAUAAAGCUAAAUUCUCUACCAACUUAAUAUUAAAAAAAAAAAACCAUCAAAGAUAAUUUUGGAAGGAAAAAAACCCAUGAGAAAAAACGUUGUAGCAAUUGACAAUGUUUUGUGAGGAAAACUAUAACGUUUUUCCCAACAAAAUAAAAUAAAAAACCUUUUAGAGAAAUAUUGUAGUAAUCCACAAUGUUUUGAGAGAAAAACUACAACGCUUUCCUCAUAUGAUUUAGCUUUAUUGUAAUUAUAAUUCUUAACCAACCAAAUAUUCAAAAAAAAAAAAUCGACAAAGAUAAUUUUGGAAAAAAUCAUAAAAAAUCACAUGGGAAAACACUGCAACAGUUCACAGUGUUUUAAAGAAAAAAAUUACAAAGCUAAAUUCUUAAUCAACUCAAUAUUAAAAAAAAAAAUCAACAGAGACAAUUUUAGAAAAAAAAAUAACAAAAAAAACAACAAAAAAAGGAAAAAAAAAUCAUGUUGGAAACACUGUAGCAAUUCACAGUGUUUCGUGAUGAAAACUACAGUGCUUCCCCACAUGAUUUAGCCUUAUUUGUAAUGACUUGUAAUUGUAAUUCACAAACAACUCAAUAUUAAAAAAAUAAAAUUGAAAAAAGAUAAUUUGAAAAAAAGUAUAACAAAAAAAACCAUGCGGAGAGACACUAUAACAAUCCACAAUGUUUUAUGAGCAAAGCUACAAUGCUUUCCCCACAUGAUUAAGUUUUAUUACAAAGUUAAAUUCUAACCAACUCAAUAUUAAAAAAAAAAUCGACGAAGAUAAUUUUGGAAAAAAAUAUCACAAAAAAAGAAAACACAAAAGAAAUUGGAAAAAAAACCAUGUGAGGAAAAACUAUAUCAAUCCAUAGUGUUUUGUGAGGAAAAACUUGUAUUUACUUGUAAUUGCAAUUCUUAACCAGCUUAAUAUUUAAAAAAUAAAAUUGACAAAGAUAAUUUUAGGGAAAAACAUAACAAAAACAGAAAUAAACCAUGGGGGAAAAAACACUGUAGCAAUCAAUAGUAAUUUUCAAGGAAAGUUACAGUGCUUUCCUCACAUAUUGUAACUAUAAUUUUUAACCAGUUCAAUAUUAAAAAAUAAAAUAAAAAAAUAUAAUUUCGGAGAAAAUCAUAAAAAAAAACCAUGCGGAGAAACACUGUAGCAAUUAACAAUGUUUUAAAGAAAAAAAAUUACAAAACUAAAUUCUCAAUCAGCUCCAUAUUAAAAAAAAUUGAUAAAUAUAAUUUUGAAAAAUAAAAAAAUAAAAUAGAAAAACUAUGUGAAAAAACAUCGCAGCAAUUCACAGUAUUUUAAAGAAAAAAAUUAUAAAGUAAAAAUUUUAACUAGGUCAAUAUUUAAAAAGUAAAAUCAACAAAAAUAAGUUUGGAAAAAAAAGAAAAAAUAAACGAAAGAAAAAAGAAAAAAUAGGAAAGUUGAAAAAAAAAAGUAAUUUAAAAAUUUUUUUUUGAAAAAAAAACAAAAAAAAAAUGAAAUUUUUUUUUUAAAAAAGAAGAGAAAACAAUGUGGAUUACUGUUGUAAUCCACAGUAUUUUGUGUGUGGGGAAAUAAUGAUUCCCCCACAUAAUUUAGAGUAUGUUGUAAUGUGCUAACUCUUAUCAAUCUUCAUGUAAUCUUUCUCAUAAAUAAAAGUUAAUGCUUUAUAAGAACCUAUAUUUAUCUAAUUUCUUUUUAUUUUACUAGUUUAGCAGACGAGUGAUAUAUUAAAGCCUUGUUAAGUUAUUUAUAACAAGAAAGCAGGGGUGAUUAUUUUCGGUUCGGUUUGGUUUUUACCUAAAAAUAACCAAACCGAAUUUAAAAAAAAAAAACAAAACCGAAAACCGGUUCAAACCUAUCGGUUUUAGUUUGGGUUGGUUCGGUUAUUUUAGAAUAAAAACCAAAACCCAACCGAUUGGUUUCAGUUCGACUCGGUUUUGAUUCAGUUUCAGUUCAGUUCAGUUAUUUUAGAACCGAAACUCAACCGAUUGGUUUUGGUUUGGUUCAGUUUUGGUUCAGUUUCGGUUCGAUUCGGUUAUUUUAUAUUAAAAACCAAAAACUAUAUUGUUUUUUGGAGUUUUUUUUUUGUAAUUUCUAAUGGGUUUGGUUUUGGUUUGGCUUGGUUUUUUUCAGUUUGACUCGGUUAUUAAUUUCGGUUCAGUUUGGUUUUUCGGUUUCAGGCUUAUGAAACCGAAACCGAACCGAUCGGUUUUUUAACUAUUCUAAUUGGUUUAAUCAGUUUUUUUUCACGGUUCGGUUUUUCCAGUUAUUUUUUUUCAAUUUUCUCGUUUUAAUCAAUUUUUUGAUUUUUUUCUUAUCCCUAAAAAAAAAAAUUUGUCAAAAUAUAUUUCACAAUAUUGAUAACUUGUGGUAACCAUUGAUCAGUCGUAUUUUACCAAGUUAGGUGUUUUACUAGUCCUGGACGGUGUUUUUAUUAUUAAAUAUACCUCGUUAAACUUUAUCACUAUUUACUUUUUUCAAAUAUUUAGUUGUCAAUCUAUUUCUCUUUUUUGUUCUAUUAUUAGUUUAGUUCUAUUAUAAAUUGGAUUAUAUCUAGAAUAUUUAGAUUAUUUUUUAGAUUAAUAUGAAUAUUAAAAUUAAUAAUUAUGUAAGUCUCUAAUAAUUAUGAGAUUACUAUACAUACAAAUUCUUUUUAUCAUGAAAUUAUCCAAGAUUGCUUUUAAUAUAAAGGAAUACCAAAUUGCUUCAAUUGAGGAGCAUCUUUAAAGAUUAUAUAUUCCUAAAAAAAUAAAGAAAAACAUAUAUCAGAUUUUUAUUCAAUCUAAUCAAAUGGAAAAAUCUAAAGACACGGAAAUCUGUAAAGUUGAUAGAAUACAGCCAACGACUUAGAAGUCCUUCAUGCCCCACUCGUACUAUCAAAGACCUUUCAAAGGUCUUCCAUAUAUUGUCCCUUUGCCAAAUGCUACAUUGAUACUACUCCAUGAGACUUUUAUAAUUACCAAUACUUGAAAACGAUUUUACAUAAGAAAUCAAAAAAAGAAUAAAAAUUAGAAUCAGUCAACUAUAGCAUGACUUGAACUCCUCUCAGCAUAUAAUUAAAAGGAGCUUCUCCUCUUGAUUUCUUCAUCUCUCCUCCUCUGGCCAAAAACAAAAUGAGUAGCAGCGGCAGCGGCAGCAGCAAAUAUCUCUCUCUCACAAACUUAUCUCUCUUCACUCCUCUGUACCUCUCCUUCCUGUUCCUCUAUCUCACCAUCCUUGUAACCGGGGAUCAAGCACCUUACGUCCCUCUCGAUAGCAUAGCGCUUGAUUGUGGUUCAUCCUCCGAUAGUAUUGGAGACGAUAGAAACUGGACUGCAGACAUCAACUCAAAAGUGGCCAUUCUAGAUCAAGACGGCCCCUCAACAAAUCCCACAGAAAAAGGAGCCUCCACUAGCUCUGUACCUUAUUAUACUGCUCGCAUCUCUCUCUCCAAAUUCACCUACACAUUUCCUGUCAAAACAACAGGACCUAAGUUUGUUCGCCUCUAUUUCAAUCCAGCUUCCUACACUGGUUUCAACAGGUCUAAAGCAUCUUUUUCUGUCACAACCGGUCGCUAUACCUUUCUUAGCAACUUCAGUGGCUUCCAUUACACUGACCCACGUGGUGAACGAGGAGGUUACGCCAGAGAAUUCAUCUUAAAUGUUGAAGAUGAGCAGAAAAAUCUGAGCAUAACGUUCACGCCAAGCCCUCAUGUUGCUGAUGCAUAUGCUUUCAUCAACGGGAUUGAAAUCGUAUCCAUGCCCACCAAUCUUUAUUACACUGCAGGAGAUGACCGAGGGAUGUAUGAUGUUAACCACGAGGUCCCUCUUUCCCUUCAAAAGGACACUGCUUUAGAGAUCAUGUACCGAGUAAAUGUGGGUGGGAAAGAGAUCACACCGCCCGACGACAAUGGCAUGUUUCGAAGUUGGUUAAACGAUGUCGAUUACUUGACGGAUGUUCAACCAGACGCUUUUCAAUUUAAUGGCACUAUUCAACUUCAGUAUAAUAACCACACUCGCUAUGCUGCACCUGACGUGCUCUAUCGAACUGCUAGGGCCAUGGCGAACAAUUCAACUGUAAAUGAGAAAUACAAUCUGACUUGGGAAUUUCGGGUCCACUCCACAUUCACCUAUCUUGUUAGGCUUCAUUUCUGUCAGUUUAUACCGAUUUUAUUGCAAAAAGGCGAUAUAGUCUUUAAAAUAUAUAUCGCUAAUCAAACGGCAGAGCGUUACGCAGAUAUAAUCUCUUGGGCUGAUGGAAAUGGGGUUCCCGUAUACAGAGAUUACGUAGUGAUGAUGGAUGCCAGAGGAAACGAAGCGAUACAGAAUUUGUCAAUUGCAUUGCACCCUAUUCAGUCUACUAAUGCCUUCGAUGCAAUGUUGAAUGGAGCUGAAAUCUUCAAAUUGAGCAAAUCAGACAAUCUUGCCGGACCAAAUCCUGACGCGUAUCCGGACAGCCCCAUUAGUAAUACUCCUCCUAGCGCGACCUCAACAAAGCCAAAGCAUAUCCGAAGAGCAGUCGCCAUUAUUGGUGCUGCUGUUUCGGGCAUUGUUGUCGUCUCUGUUCUAUUUUUCUUGAUUUUCCGGAGAAGAGUCCAAAAAUUCAAGGACUUGGUUUCUGGUGAUGCAGCUUCAAACUUAAGCCCUCUUGUUUCCUCUUCAAGAAAGUCAACAAAGACCCAUAGGUCAUCUCUACCUUCUGAUCUAUGCUACCGUUUCUCGCUAGUUGAGAUCAUAGCAGCUACAAACAACUUCGACGAUUCAUUCAUUAUUGGUGUUGGUGGCUUUGGUAACGUGUACAAAGGAUUAUUUGGUGGUGGAGUCAAUCGUGCUGCGAUCAAGCGAUUGAAUCCAAGUUCACAGCAGGGUGCAACCGAGUUCAAGACAGAGAUCGAGAUGCUCUCCCAGCUUAGGUUCCGCCAUUUGGUUUCUCUAAUUGGUUACUGUAAUGAGAAUAAUGAGAUGAUCCUGGUGUAUGAUUAUAUGGCUCGGGGGACGCUUCGUGAUCAUCUCUACAGAACUGAUAAUCCUCCACUUUCAUGGACUCAACGCCUAGAGAUUUGCAUCGGUGCUGCCCGUGGGUUGCAUUACCUUCACACAGGUGCCAAGCACACUGUCAUUCAUCGUGAUGUGAAGACAACAAAUAUCUUGCUGGAUGAGAAAUGGGUGGCCAAAGUUUCGGAUUUCGGAUUGUCCAAAACAGGCCCUACGAGCACAUCGAAGGGCCACGUGAGCACCGUUGUGAAAGGUAGCAUAGGGUACUUGGAUCCCGAAUAUUGUCAACGCCAGCAAUUGACAGAAAAAUCUGAUGUCUAUUCAUUUGGGGUUGUGUUGUUCGAGGUAUUGUGUGCUAGACCAGCAAUAAACCGAUCAGCAGUGCCAGCAAGUCUAGCAGAGUUGGCUAGACAAAGCCACAGCAACGGAACGAUUAAUGAAAUCAUUGAUCCGUAUCUGGAUGGAAAGAUCUCACCAGAUUGUCUGAAAAACUUUGUUGAUGUUGCGGUGAGAUGCUUGCUCGAGAAUGGAAUCGAAAGGCCAUCGAUGACGGAUGUGGUUUGGGGCCUUGAGUUUGCAUUACAACUGCAAGAGAGCGCGGAAGAGUAUGUCAAAGUGGCUCAAACUGAGAAAGAAGUUAACAUGGAGACUCCUCUGAAAGGCUCCUCAAUCGAUGACAGCAGUGAUUUGUUUAGUACUGGCAGUGAACUAGUUGUGAAUUCCCGCAUUUUGGAAAUGGCAACAACAAGCAGCAGCGACGAACAAAGUUUUCUAAGCAACGAGUCGGAGAAAAUGAUGUCUGGUGCUGUGUUCUCUGAGAUCAUGAACCCAAAGGGGCGAUGAGAAGCAAGCUAGCUAGUUAGCAUGCUGCAUUAGUAUAGGCCUCAAGACAGAUGUUUCUAGCUGAAAUACCUAUCGAUGCAUAUAUAUGCAUUACUUGUUUGAAUAAUUUUGGUAGUGAUAAUUAGUGUGUCUGAUAGAAUGAUUUUAUUGCAGUACUCUGCAUAUUCAGCAUUAAUUGGAACCAAUUUUUCAUGUUAUUUGACCACUCAGCCGCAAGAUCACCACAAUUUCAAGCUAACAAUAUGAACAAGUGCAUGCUUAGUAAUUAACAAGUUAGGGAUGGUCAAGCUAUCUGAUUCAAAAUUCGGCUGACUUGGGUGAAAGGAAAUCAAUAGACUGAGAAGAUUCUCUCUACGCAAUCAACUCUUUAUUUACAAAAUAAAAAAAGCUGACUUUUUUUCCCAAAAACAUUUGUUCCCUACUCCUAUCAUAAUAUAUUUAAUCAAUAUGUUAAAACCAAAUUUUCUUUACACACAAUAAAAAAAAUAGAAAAUAUAUUUAAUGCAUGUAGAUAUAUGGUAUUAGUAAAAUAGUAAAUUGAUAACAACAUUGUAAGAAUUUCAUGUUAUUAUUUUCCGAAAUAUAUUGGACAUGAUUAUCCUUGCCAACUUAUCAAGUGAUAUUGUAGAGAAAAUAAGAUAAAAAAAUAUUAAAUAAGAAUUAAAAUGAUUGUAUAAAUUAAUAAGAUAAAACAACGUGAAUUUAGUAGUUAUAUCGAAAUUUAUGAAAAUCAAUAAAGAAAGGUCCACAUGUUAAGGACGAAAAAUCUGACGUUUCAUUUCCUGCAGAACGUUACCAAUAUAUUUCUAUAAUUUUUUUUAAAAAAAAAACAAUUCCACGGAAAUAUACAGAAGUCUGAUUAUGAUGUCUUAAAAGUUAAUUUUCUUGGAAAGUGGGGAUUUUUUUUAAUGUUGAAUUAUUGAUUGAAUAACGCCAACGACUUGGAAGUCUUUGAUGCCUUUCAAAGGUCGCUGCUACACAGCGCAGACAGACGACCUUUCAAAUGUCACUUCUUCCACUUCCAAUUGGUCCACUCUAUUUGUUGCCUCAUAAUGUGCAUUAGAUGUUUCCAUGAAACUGGGCCCAAAGGCUUGGAACUUUGCCAACAACAUGUAUUUGCUUUUGAUAUUCCAUUUUUCACGCCGGAGUGGGCAUCUUAUUUUAAAAAUUGACCUUUUUAUUUUUUGUUCAAUUCUGCAUAAAUCUUAAUUUCCCUUUCACUACCUAUUUAUUCUUAAUAUGAAAUAAAAAAUAAUAAUUAGCCAACUCAAAGCAUGGUUGAUGCAGGCGAUAACUAUAUAACGAUAAUAACAAUAUAGAAAACACAGUAAAAUUUUAUGAGCGAAAAAAAUACAUAUAUGAAUCAUGAAUUUAUAAUUUUAUUAUUUGAAAAUAAAAUUAAUAAAGUUUACUUUUUUAGAUGUUUACAAUAUCUAUAAAUAGAUAAAAAAAAAAAAGGCCUUACAUCUAUUAGAAAAUAAUUAGAAAUCUAAAAGCAUGCACAAAGGGAAUUAAAAUAAAAAACCAAAUGAAAUAAUAAAUCCAAAAAUAACCUAGAAAAAAUAACGAAAUUGACCAAACAGCAACAUCCAGGCUUGAUUUUUAAUUCCAAGAGAUCCAACAGUCUGAUAAGAGAUGUCAUUUUAAGGUGUUAACCCAAUCUAACGUGACAAGACCUCUUCUUAGACCUAGAGAUGUCUCAUUGAUUCAUAAAAAUAUAUUUUAGGCCAUCCAUAUAAUAUGUCUAAGUCAGACCCCUAUCUAGUUGUGUAAAAUUCCUAUUUUAUUGUAUCAUAUCUUUACCCGAAUACUCAUAAACUUUAUUUACUAACUGCAUCAAUGGUUUGAAUCUCUUUGCGUAUUAAAAGGAGCCGAUCAAUCUCAUCUCAUCUCUAUAUUUUUUUUUACCACUUCUAGUAAAAAAAAAAAAAAACCAUGUGUUGUCAAGGAAAAAAAAGGAUUUCUAAUCUACCAAGAUUUUAGAUUUUUUUUUUUUGGGUGGUAAAUGACAUCAAACUUUACAUAAUAUUUAUAUUUAUAUUUAUAUAACUAAACUAAUAAUAUAACUAGAUCAUUGGAGUCUAAAAAUCUCUCUCUCUCUCUCUCUCUCUCUCUCUCACACACACACACACACACACACACAUCUCUCUCUCUCUCUCUCUCUCUCUCACACACACACACACACACACAUCUCUCUCUCUCUCUCUCUCUCUCUCUCUCUCUCACACACACACACACACACACACGAAUUUGGUCCCCAUUUCUCAUUUUUAUAUUACUAGUGUGGUGAUCCACGUUCAAGACAAAAAACAAUAUUAUGGCUAUGAUAAUCUAAGUUAAGUUAAGUUAACUUGAUUAACCUGUGAUCAAGAUAAAAAAUUAGUAUAAUUCUAUAGAAAAGAAAGUGAAAAAAAUAAUAAUGCUCAAAGCCCAAUAACCUAAUGUCAAAAGAUAAAACUUGAAAAAUAAAAUUUAAAAAUAGAAAUGUCGAAGAAAAAACACAAGUCAACCCGGGCUCACCCAACUACCCGCUACCCUAGAUAUGAGAUCAAAAUAAAAAAAUAAUUUUUUAAAAAAGACUUAAGAAAAAGAACGAGUCAACCCGGGCUCACCUAGCUAUCCUCUACCCUCGAUACGAGAUCAGAAUAAAAAAAUAAAAUUUUAAAAAAAGACUUAAAAAAAAAGAUUGAAGUUAAAUCAAUAAAUAAAAUAUCAAGAAAACAAUUGAGUCCACAUGGGUUAACUUGACUAACUCGUAACUUAGGCCAACCUCAUAUAAAGGAAAGUGGAAAAAAUCACUAAGAUCAUGACCCAACAAUCUAAUGUCAAAGAAUUAAAUUGAAAUAAAAAAUCAUUUUAAAAAAGAUGUAAAAAAAAUUGAGUCAACAAAGGUUCACUCGACUAACUCGCAACCCGUAGAAUGUGAUCGGGAAAAAAAUGUAUUUAAAAUAAAAAGGACUUAGAAAAAAACACCGAAGAAAAAUAAAAGGAAUAUCGAAAAACCCCGAAGUCAACCCAGGUUAACUUGACAAACCUGCGACUCAGAGUAACCCCACAAAAAGAAAAAUAAAAAAAAUCACAAAGCUUAAGGCCCAAUAAUGUAAUUUCAAAUGAUGAAAUAAAAAAAAUAAAAUUAAAAAAACCAUAAAAAAUCUAAGAUUUGUGAUAUGAGAUCGAGAUAAACUCACAUAAAAGAAUGAGGAAAAAAUCAUGAAGCUCAAGACCCAAUAACUUAAUGUUGAAUGAUGAAAUAAAAAAUUAAAUAAAAACCAUGAAAAUCAAGACUGAAUAAAAAUUAAAACUCGAAUGAACCUGGGUUCAUCCAGCAAACCCAUGACUUAGGAUAAGAUAGAAAAAGAAAAGUGAAAAAAACCAUGAAACUUAAGACUCAAUAACCUAAAGUUAAAUGAUAAAAUUGAAAAAUAAUCAAUUUUAAGAAAAGGGCAUAAAAAUAUUGAAGUUAAAUCGGGUUAAUCCUCGAAACUAGUAACCUGAGUGAUGAGAUCAGGAUUAAACAAUAGAAGGCAAACUCUAAAAAAUACCAUGCAAAAUCCCUAAUCAUCCAAAAUUAGAUAAACAAAACAAAUAGCAAUAAAAAAUAAGAACCAGAUCUGGCAUAAAAAUUAAAUGAAAGAAAACAAUGAGGGACUAAAUUAAAAAUUAAAAUAAAUUAAGAAAAUGAUAAAAAAAAUAGCAAUCAAAGAAUGAGAACCAAAAUUGGACACAAAAAUUAAACAAAAUAAAAUGAUGAGGAAUAAAAUUGAAAAAAAAUAGCAAUCAAAAGAAUGAGGACCAAACUGGAUUAAAUAAUUAAAUGAAAUAAAAUAUUUAGGGAUAAAAUUGAAAAAAAUAAAGUUCAAAAAGCAUUAAAAGAAAAAAAAAUAGCAAUAAAAAAUAACCAAAAUUGAUAGAAAUACAACCUGGAGGACACAAUUAAUUUUUGAAAGGGCUGGUGCAAAUUUUGAGGUCAGGAGAGAGAAAAGAAAGAGGAGAAGAAAAAGGUUCAUCGAAGCUUAGCCUCACCUCCAUUGAGAAGAAAAAGGUUCAUCCUUCAUCGUGAGAGAGGAUAAGAGACCAAGAUAACUCUAUAAAAAAAAAGUGGAAACAACCAUGAAACUCAAGGCCUAAUAACCUAAAGUUAAAUGAUAAAAUUAAAAAAUAAUCAAUUUUAAGAAAAGGGCAUAAAAAAUAUCAAAUUUAAAUCGGGCUAAUCCUCAAAACUAGUGACCUAAAUCAUGAGACCGGGAUUAAACCAUAAAAGGAAAACUCUAAAAAAUACCAAGCAAAAUCCCUAAUAAUCCAAAAUUAGAAAAAUAAAAUAAAUAGCAAUAAAAAAAAUAAAAACUAAAUAUAGCAUAAAAAUUAAAUGAAAGAAAACAAUGAGGGACUAAAUUGAAAAUUAAAAUAAAUUAAGAAGAAAAAAUAAAAAAUAGCAAUCACAUAAUGAGAAUCAAAAUUGGAUAUAAAAAUUAAAUUAAAUAAAAUUCUUAAGGAAUAAAUUGAAAAAAAUAAAUUUCAAUAAAGCAUUAAAAGCAAAAACAAAUAGAAAUAAAUAAAAAUGAUGACUAAAAUUGAUAAAAAUAUAACCUGUUGGUGCAAAUUUUGAGGUCUGGAGAGAGAAAAAAAAGGAGAGGAAAAAGAUUCAUCGGAGACCAACCUCACCUCCAUCGUGAACACGUGUCCCAUCAUUGCGAAAAAGAGCUUUAAAUGUUGUAGUGAAUGACAACAUUUAACCACUGGAAGGUGCCACCAAGGUUGUCAAUUCUGUUUCGUUUUGCCUAGAAUGGCCGAAAUAUUCCAUACCAAUUCAAAAAACGAAACAAAUUUCAUCUCAUUUUAAAUCUCGAUCCGUUCUGGAUUUUUCGACUAAAUUCCCCCCAGAAUGUUCCGGUUUCAUUCCACAUGUUUCGUUCCGCUCUUAAAAAGCCGUUGAAUCAAAUUGAACCUUGUUCAAUUUAAUUAAUUAAACCACCCAAUUAUAAAAAGCUCUUUUUCAUUACUAUUUUCAAUAACAAUGAUAUUGAUAAUAAUAUUGAAAAUUAUUAUUACUAUUUUCAUUAAAAAAUGAUAUUAAUUUUUUAAAAUUAGAUUUAUCACUAAUAUAUAUGGUUUAUAUUCAUGUUGUUUUUUUUUCAUGUUUAUACUUUGUAUGAAUUUGAGCAAAACAAGGAAUGCUUUAGAUUCCAUUAGCCUUGAUAACAUUGACCUAACUUUAUAUUUAAAAUAUUUGUGUUAAAAAAUUUUAUUUUCAUAAUAUUUUGAUAUUUUGUUUAAGUUGAAUUACUUUAAGUUAAAAACCAAUUUAAUCUUGACUAUUUAGGAAUAUUUUAAAUUUUGAAAUUAUAUUUGUUUAGCAUUGUGUUUGUAUUGCAUAAUUUAUAAUUAAUUUAUCUUGAAUUUGAAUUAUGUUUGUUGAAUUUAUAUAUAUAUAUAUGAACAGUACAACCCCGAAACGGCACACCGAAACUGAAACGUUCCAUUCCAAUUGAAAAAACGAAACACCUACUGAAACGGAAUUGACAACCUUGGGUGCCACACGCGCCGCCUAAAGAACGUGAAUGCCUCUAAAUUGUUGGUGUGUGUGUGACAUUGAUCGGCAUGGUCAUGAUUCAUUCUCAUUGCAUCCAUAACCAUUGUCCUUUAAGGAUUAUUGUUGUCAUCUACAACUCCAAGCACGUUGCUAACACUAAAAAUUGACUCAACCAUCCUUUCUAUCAUGGUCUCGUGAUGAACAAUUGGUUUUCUCUCUGCAUACCAAAACUAUUCCUCCAUGAACUUUUUAUUUUCACACCUCUUGCAUAGAUACCUAAUACCGCCUCCACUAAUAUUUCUCGGAUUAGAUAUUGUGUAAUUAAUAAAACCCUAAACUCUAUUACAAUAAUUCAUCCUCCACAAUCAUUGGGGUGAAUCUCGAUAUAUUCAUGAACGAUCAUUCAUCACUUCUAUCAAACCUAUAUCAAAUAAUGAUGACAACAUAUAUUUAAUUAACUAUGUAAACUAAAUAAAUUUGCAAAAAUAUUGGUUUAGCGCAAGAUUAUUCAACCUACUUUAAUACUUCUUUUAAUUCAUUAUCAAUUAUCUACGUAAAUACAAAUUUGUAUACUUUUAUGGAAAUUACAACUCGACAAUAAAAUCAAUAAAAUAUAUAACGGACCCGUUAUUAAACAAGCUAUUAUUUAUUUCAUCACAACACAUCUAAGUCAGUAAUUCAACAUAAGUUUCAAUAAUUUAUAAAUAAAUAUAAUUUUACAAAAUCUAAAACAAACCAUAACAUGUACAAAAUCAUAAAUCCAUACAACAAGUUUGUUUGAGAAAAAAUAAUAAAACAAGUAAACACGUAAACAAAAUACAUAUACUACAAAAAUAUACAAUAAAAAAAUUAACAUUUUAAAAUUAUAUUCAAAUUAAAAAAAAUUUACUUUCUUAAAUGGAAAUCCUUAAUAAAAUUUCAACAAAAAUUCCAUUCAAGUGUCUUAGACGACUUCUGAUGCUACGGGGGUUCGCCUUUAUAUACAGAGGAACUGCACCCCACUAAUUAUUGCACAAAUAAUAGGAGAGCUUUUAUUUGUGAGAUGCUGCCGUAAAUAUAUUGAUAGGAGAGCUUAUAUUUAUGUUGACAGAAGAAAAAUCAAGAAAGCAAUGGUGAUAAUAGAUGAGUGAUUAAGAGAAGAGAGAAGAAAUAAAUAAGAAUUAUAAAUAGAAUUAUUGAGCUGAUUUAGUCUUGGUGUUUUAAUAUAGAUUAUCAUUGUGUUCAAUUACAAGUCUAAAUUUUUUUUUUUUAAAAAUCGAUUUGACUAUGAGUUUUUGGAUCUUUAUAUUCAUGGAGUUUAAAUCAGUUGGUAUCAGAGUAAGAUGCUAAAAUCAUGUUAUAUCCUUUUAUUUUUUAGUAUCCGUGUUAUUUCAUUGUUGUCACUUGCAUCUAGAACCCAGUUGUAGAAACAAUUAAAAAAAAAGAUUAUUUGUGAUAUAGUUGAAUACAAUUAAGGAAAAAUAAAAGAUAAAUGAAAAAAAAAGGGAAUUCGACAACUCAUAUAUGAGAAAUGUUAAGUUUUGAGAUAUCUUUGUGACAUGUCGGGUUGGGCCAGUGGCCGGGCUGGGUUGCUGGGUCUUGCCUAGCCUGUUAGGUCGGGCUAGAUCCAGCUUAGUAAAAAAAAGAGUGGGCCAGGUCUUGGUCUUAGGCCCAUCCAGCCCAAGCUACUUUGGACUAAGAGUGUGAUUGAAAAAAUACACCCUUGUGUCUUUUCCAUGUAUUUUAUUCAUUUUUUUGUUUUGAUAUCCGGUUAAACGAGAUCUUUUUUAUAGUAGAAAAUUCCAUAAAAAUUUAGGGAUCUUCGUUGAUUUAUUUAUGGGCCCUCGCAUUUUAUUUUAUUUUUGUUCUUUGCGUAUUUUGUUUUUCAUUGCAUGUUCAAUCUACGGACCUUUACUGCUAAGGGAAACCUAUUAUACAAUGCACUUUUUUCUUCUUGUCUAAAAAAGAGCAAUAAUAAAAACAAAAUAGAAAAAAGGUAAAAAAAGGCAUAGAAAAAUUAUUUAUUCUUCAUUUAAAUUCAAAAUUUACGGAUUUAUUUAAUAGCGUUAGAGUAAGGAGUAUCACACUUUUUGGGUUGUGCAUUAUUUACUAAUGCCAGAGUUGAGAAUAUUUGUAAGUAAAUGUUCACGGACGCCAGAGUCAGGAACAUUGGAGGAAGAUAAAAAAAAAAGAGGAAAACAAAUUCUUAACAAUUAUCUUUUAUUUUAUACAAAUAUAUAUAAAAAAGGAUCUACAUGUAUACAUAAGAGAUGGAGGGACCAAACUGGAUCUUUGAAAUUUUUUAGAAACUUAAUUGCAUCCUUUAAAGACUUAAAUAUGAAAAGUAAUGCAAAUUCAAGGCUAACUUAAAUGAAUAUUGGAUAAAUUUGCAUAAAAAUUAAAUCUGAGGACUUAAUUAGAUUUUUAAUAAGUUGAUUUGAUUUAAUCAUAGUUCUAAUUAAAGGUUAAAUUAACUUUAUAAAUUAAUUUAGAUCGAAAUUAAAAGAAUUAAUUAAGUGCAAGAACUUAAUUAGUUUUUUAAUGGGUCAACUUAAUUUUACUAAGGAUUUAAUUAGUGAAAAACUAAACUUGAAAGUUUAAUUGAAAAGAUUAGAAUUUUGACAGACCAAACUUAAGUUUUACAAUAUUAAUUGGAUGAAAUCAGGGGUGAAAUUGUAAGUAAAUCAAAAUUUAAGAGUCAAAUUAAAGGUAAAAUUAAAAAAAUUUAAAACCAAGAACUUGUCCACAAUAAACACGCAAAAUUAGGGGUUGUACCAAACAUUUUUGGGGACGAGACUGAAGAGAAUCGAAGUUUAAUGUUUAAUGAGGGAUUAAAUUGGACAAAUCAGAAAACAAGUGCUCCUUUAGCGGCCAUGGCCCCCUCUGUCUCCCUAGACUCUGCAAAGGUUUGUGUGUGAUUAUCUCCUCUCUAUGACAAUACUUUUCUAUGAUUCAAUUCAUAUAUAUUGAAUUUCAACCACAAGUAACGUAAUUUAAAGUUUAACGCAAAUUUAUUCUACCAUGAGAGUUAUAUGAUUCAAUUCAAGACCCACUCGAUCCAAUAGAUAAUAGAAACAGUAGUGGUAAGGGAAUUUAACAAACUCCCAAAAAAGAGAGUACAUAUUAGAGAGAGAUCUACCUCCAUCACGCAUGGGCAUGGAAUAACUGCAAGUAGAUUAAUGAAACUAGCAGGUGCGUUUGUACACCGACAAGCAGUCCUUAUUAAAACGACCCUUAGGCACGCAAUAUCGUUUGCCUCGGCCGCAACCAUACAAUGCUGCAUAAGGAUUUUGAGUACCUCCGGUUGUGCCGACGCGCGAGCCAGUCAGAAUCCUGUUAAUUUCAGAAUCCAUCAUGAACUCCAAAUCCAAGUUGGAAUCAGCUAUGGAGUACAAGGGGACGUCACCGUCCAUUUCCGGCAAUAAAAUACUAGCACCGCAACUCUUUGUGUUGAGCAGCAUCAUCAUCAACAACAACGACAAUGUUAGAGAAGACAAGGAAAGACUCUUCAUAGUAUCCCUCUUAUGUUUCGCUAGCUCUUUCAAUGCUAAUCUAUGAUAAAAGCGAGCAGCUAACUCCGUAUGUAUGGGAUAGGGUGGCAGUGAUCGGCGGUGUUGAAGGUGAUAAGAUGAGGAAUGUGGCAACGCUGGAUUGGUUAGCUCAUAUAUAAAAAAUGACAUCAUAUAGAUGAGACAAUUGGUAAAAUUAUUGAUAAUUGUUUGUUAGAGUGGGAGAUUGAUAAAGUUUUAAAGUAAACAAUGUAACCUCUAAUAAUGUAACUAUUUUAUAUUUGAAGAAUGUGAUGAAAAAUUGGUCAAUUAAUGUAUUAUCAAAUGAGCAUUUGCAUGUUAGAUGUUAUGCAUACAUUGUAAAUGAGUCUAUCUUGGUUUAUGCAUUUAGGUUCACUAAACAAUGCUCCCAAUUAACACUUGAGUGUCACUGAUGAAUAUUAGACCAAUUAACUUGGGUAACUUAUUUCUUAAUUUUUAAAGCCAAGACAAGAGGUGUUACUCUCUAUUAGUGUUCAAGACAAUGACUCAUAUUAAAUCUAUUCCACCCAAAACACUAUGAAUAAAUAACUAAAUACAUUUGAUUUUCAGACACAGUUUAAAAAUAAAUGAGAGUUUGUUGUUUUGAUAUGGAAUGUCAUUCAUUUGCAAGCUGGUCUUGAUUAUUUUUAUUGAAAAAAUGAAUGAGACAAUACUCAUGUCUUGGUAGAUUCAUAAGUAAGAAUGAAAUAUAGGAGGAAAUAAGAUGUUGUCAAGCUAAAACAACACUAGUAAUUAUUAAAAACACAUCAAAAACUAACAUGAUAUAUAUAUAUAUAUAUAUAUAUAUAUAUAUAUAUAUAUAUAUAUAUAUAUAUAUAUAUAUCAUGUUAAUACUAACUUGAAUGAAGCUCCCUCCAUAAAAACAUUUAUUAACAAUUAAUUAUAUUAAAUAAAAAAGAAUAUUAAAGGGAAAUAAAAUAUAAAUAUUACCCAUUGUAGAGAAACAUAUAUGAUUAAAUUCGACACCCACUCGAUUCCAAUAGAUAAUAAUGACAGUAGUAGAAAGGGAAUUAACAAGCUCCCUAAAAAUUAAAUAGGUACAUAUCAUGGGCAUGGAAUAACUGCUAGUAGAUGAAAGAAACUACUAGCAGUCGCGUUUAUAUAAUUCAAUAGAUAACACCUACCGAAACGGAAUUGACAACCUUGCACAAAAUAUAAUCUACCGCACAAAAUAUAAUCUACCAUGAGUAUUAUAUGAUUCAAUUCGACACCCACUCGAUUCCAAUAGAUGAUAAUGACAGUAGUAGAAAGGGAAUUAACAAGCUCCCUAAAAAUUAAAUAGGUACAUAUCAUGGGCAUGGAAUAACUGCUAGCAGUCGCGUUUGUACUGCGACCCGCACUUCCGUGUAUUAUCAGGACCCUUAGGCACGCAGUAUCGAUUACCUCGGCCGCAACCAAACACUGGUUUCUGACGAAUGAGAGGAUCAACUCCGGCAUUGCGAGAGCCAAGAAUCCUGUUGAUUUCAGAAUCCAUCAUGAACUCCAAAUCUAAGUUGGAAUCAGCUAUGGAGUACAAGGGGACGUCACCGUCCAUUUCCGGCAGUGAAAUACUAGCACCGCAACUUUUUGUGUUGAGCAGCAUCAUCGUCAACAACAACGACGACAAUGUUAGAGCUGACAAGGAAAGGCUCUUCAUGGUAUCUCUUUUAUUUUUAGCUAGCUCUUCUUAACGCUGUCUAUCUAAUCACCUAUAUAUAAAAGCAAGCAUCUAACUCUCUGUAUAUAUAUGGGAGAGUGGCGGUGUUGAAGG